rnacentral:rRNA from 1 species
CUAACUCCGGGCCGGAGGCGGCGGUCAUACGGGGGAGCCAAGCGUUAUCCGGAAUUACUGGUGGUAAAGGGUUGCGGAGGUGGCAAGGGAAGCAAAUAGUGAAAGGCUACGGCUCAACCGUAGAUACAUUGUGUGAACUGCCAAGCUAGAGCAUAGGAGAGGUAGCUGGAAUUGCUAGUGUAGGAGUGAAAUCCGUAGAUAUUAGCAGGAACACCGAUGGCGUAAGCAGGCUACUGGCCUAUUGCUGACACUAAGGCACGAAAGCGUGGGGAGCGAACGGGAUUAGAUACCCUUGUAGUC